GCAGUGGAUUAAAAUGUUACUGGAAGAGGAGGAGGAGAAGAGGAGGGUAUGAGAGGCUAAAUGGGUCGGGUUGUAUGAGGAUGAAUCGGGUCGGUUUGGGGAAACGAAGGUUCUGGAAGAUAAAUCUAAAGCGGAGAGUGAAGUUGAGUCGGAAUUAUUUGAAAUUUUGGCCGAAGAAAUUCGUAAUGAAUGUGCGGGAUGCGUAUGUGAAUAUGAUGAUGAAGAUUGCUAAUUCCAAGUGUAUGAGUAGUGGGGUUGGUGGUGGAUUCGGUACGAGGCAGUUGAAAGAGUAUGAUGAGAAGGUGCUCGUACAGAUUUACAAGUCCAUGAUUAUUGCGCAGGGACAGUUAAUUGGUGAUGGUGAUGUAAAAUUUGGCACUCCAAUUCUGUGACAAACAAUGGAGUUAUGGUAGUGAAGUUUGGGACGAAUGGGGUAGAGACUAAAAAGAUUACCCCUAACAAUGGA
rnacentral:misc_RNA from 1 species